rnacentral:rRNA from 1 species
AUUGAACGCUGGCGGCAGGCCUAACACAUGCAAGUCGAGCGGAUGAAGGGAGCUUGCUCCUGGAUUCAGCGGCGGACGGGUGAGUAAUGCCUAGGAAUCUGCCUGGUAGUGGGGUAUAACGUCCGGAAACGGGCGCUGAUACCGCAUACGUCCUGAGGGAGAAAGUGGGGGAUCUUCGGACCUCACGCUAUCAGAUGAGCCUAGGUCGGAUUAGCUAGUUGGUGGGGUAAAGGCCUACCAAGGCGACGAUCCGUAACUGGUCUGAGAGGAUGAUCAGUCACACUGGAACUGAGACACGGUCCAGACGCCUAAGGGAGGCAGCAGUGGGGAAUAUUGGACAAUGGGCGAAAGCCUGAUCCAGCCAUGCCGCGUGUGUGAAGAAGGUCUUCGGAUUGUAAAGAACUUUAAGUUGGGAGGAAGGGCAGUAAGUUAAUACCUUGCUGUUUUGACGUUACCAACAGAAUAAGCACCGGCUAACUUCGUG